GCUGGGCAUGGUGGUGCGCGCCUGUGGUCCCAGCUACUUUGGAAGCUGAGGUGGGAGGAUCACUCGAGCCCAGGAAGUCAAGGCUGCAGUGAGCCGUGAUUGCACCACUGCACUCCAGCCUGGGCAAUAAGAGUGAGAUCCUGUCUCAA
rfam:Homo sapiens chromosome 1, GRCh38 reference primary assembly.